rnacentral:rRNA from 1 species
CAACAGGGAUUGCCCUAGUAACGGCGAGUGAAGCGGCAACAGCUCAAAUUUGAAAUCUGGCUCCAUCUCGGGGUCCGAGUUGUAAUUUGCAGAGGGCGCUUUGGCGUCGGCAGCGGUCUAAGUUCCUUGGAACAGGACGUCACAGAGGGUGAGAAUCCCGUACGUGGUCGCGUGCCUUCGCCGUGUAAAGCCCCUUCGACGAGUCGAGUUGUUUGGGAAUGCAGCUCUAAAUGGGAGGUAAAUUUCUUCUAAAGCUAAAUACCGGCCAGAGACCGAUAGCGCACAAGUAGAGUGAUCGAAAGAUGAAAAGCACUUUGGAAAGAGAGUCAAAUAGCACGUGAAAUUGUUGAAAGGGAAGCGCUUGCAGCCAGACUUGCCUGCGGUUGCUCAUCCGGGCUCUUGCCCGGUGCACUCUUCCGUAGGCAGGCCAGCAUCAGUUUGGGCGACCGGAGAAAGGCCUCUGUCACGUAUCUCCCUUCGGGGAGACCUUAUAGGGGAGGCGCAAUGCGGUCAGCCCGAACUGAGGUCCGCGCAUCUGCUAGGAUGCUGGCGUAAUGGCUGUAAGCGGCCCGUCUUGAAACACGGACCAAGGAGUCUAACAUCUAUGCGAGUGUUUGGGUGUCAAGCCCGGGCGCGCAAUGAAAGUGAACGGAGGUGGGAACCCCUUCGCGGGGUGCACCAUCGACCGAUCCUGAUGUCUUCGGAUGGAUUUGAGUAAGAGCAUAGCUGUUGGGACCCGAAAGAUGGUGAACUAUGCUUGAAUAGGGUGAAGCCAGAGGAAACUCUGGUGGAGGCUCGCAGCGGUUCUGACGUGCAAAUCGAUCGUCAAAUUUGGGCAUAGGGGCGAAAGACUAAUCGAAC